rnacentral:lncRNA from 1 species
GGUAGGCGGUGGUCGCCGCCUCCUUUGAUUAAUUGUUUGUAUCAAGCAUCUACCCUUCUCCAUUUUCUCAGAAAAAAUUAGCAUCCAGUUAAAAAUAAGAAAAACACUAAUAAAAUACUAACUAAUUAGUAUAAAAUUAUAACUUAGAAUGAAUUGCAGAUCCAGCACUUGUCUCAAAAUGAUUAUCAAUUGCAUGAGUUUGGGCCCGGAUCAUUGGUGUUGUGAUGCGCCUGAGGAAGACAAAAUAUAUUUUUUUUUUUUAAGAGAAAGGUAGCAUGCUACCCGCUUUAUUCAUUGGAAAAAUGAACUAGGCUACAAGGGUGGGGCAACCAUAGUUAGUAAAUUCGGAUUCGGCAAAAAUUCGGUACGGAUAUAAUUCGGAUAAAAUUCGUCUUCUAAUUUUUAAAUUUAUUGAAAAAUACGGCUAAAAAACGGAUUCGCUAAUUAUUCGGAUACGUGAUUUAUACGGAUAUUAUACGUUCACCAAUUAAAAAUUCGGGAUAAAAAAUUCGGCUAUUAAAUUAAGUUUUUUUUCUCUCAAAAUUUAUGCUAUUAGCAUAAAUAUUCAUAUUUCUUAAGAAUAUAAGAAUAAAGAGCUACAAAAUUAAACUAAUUAAGUAAAACAUAGUUGAAAACUGAAUAUAAUUAAAUAUAAAAUAUAGAAGAUUCACAUAUAAACAUAAAAGAUUCACAUACAACCAUUAUUGCAAACUCUGUUACUAAAAUAUGUUACCCUUUGUUGUCAAGAUUCCUUACUUGAAUAGCAUUAUUUGGAGCAAUUUUUUUUUUCCUGAAAUAAACUUCGCACCAUAAUAUGCAGGGUUAAAAUAUAUAUAUAGACACCUAGUUAAGCUACUUUAAAAGAGGUUAACAUACUCGAAGUGAUCGAUCGAUUGAUGCCCGCCAAAUCCCGUUGCUAAUUCUAAUCCAAAUUCAAAUCCAAAAAACUUCUCAGAUCUCAGAUCUCAGAUCUAUGAUAAUUAAUUAGGCACCUUUCGCAAGUCCAAGAGUCAAUAUAAACCCAACUUAAUUAAUUAAGGAGAGAUGAAGAAACCCUAAUUAACAAUUUUAAUUAGCUUGAAGGAGAUUAAUUAUUGUGAGCAGUAGAGAAAAUAGAACUUGUAGACUUCAAAACUACAAUGUAAAGGAUGUAGACUUCAAAACUACAAUGUAAAGUGUAGAUCAUAGGGAUGAUGAGAGUCAAACUCAUACAAGGUUUACUCAUCGGAGAAGGGAAGAGGGGCGAAGAGGUUACCUGUGUGCUGGGAGAGGCCGAGGAGGAGGAGGGAGAGGAGGGGCGGAACGAGGAGGUGGGCGGCGGCGGCGGCGGCGCAGACGCGGCGGCGACGGCGCAGGCGCGGGCUUAGGCGAGGUCGGGCGGGGCGCGGGGCGGGGGGCGUGGGAGAUGACGGACUGGUUGAGGAAGGAAGGACUGGAGGAGUGGAGGGUUCUGAACUUCUGAUUUCUGAAGAGUGAAGAACUCGAUCUUCGAUGUGGCCACGCGGGGUCUUCCAAUGGCAUGCGGCGAGCGGCCGGAAGGGAAGAGGAGGAAGGAAGGGGAUCGGGGCUGGGAUCGGUGCCUCGAUGGUAGGCGGGAGGGGUGAGGGUUAGGGUAAAAUCUUCGUUUUGGGGAGGGCGAAGAGGGCAAUUCGAAUUUCGAUUUUCGAAAGGAAUUUUUUCCCCCUGCCGGUUUUUUUUUUUUUUUUUUUUUUUGUUUGGGGUGUUUUGAUUUGUUGUUUUAACUAUUUUUUCUGUUAAUUUUAGUAUGCACUAGAAUUUUUUUUUUCUUCUUGUUCAAUUUAAAUAAUUAUGCGCAAUAUUAGCCCUAAUGUAUCACGCCGUGUUGUUUGAUAUAAUGUUGUAUCAUAUUAAAUUAAUAUAUAUUUGUUGUUAUGCAGUAGUAUGUUUGAUU